UGGGGAAUAUUGGUCAAUGGGCGAAAGCCUGAACCAGCAAUGCCGCGUGAGUGAUGAAGGCCUUCGGGUUGUAAAGCUCUGUCAGGGGGAACGAAAAAGUCGUCUAAUAAACGAUAUUGACGGUACCCUCAAAGGAAGCACCGGCUAACUCUGUGCCAGCAGCCGCGGUAAUACAGAGGGUGCAAGCGUUGUUCGGAAUUACUGGGCGUAAAGCGCGUGUAGGCGGUUUGGUAAGUCAGACGUGAAAUCCCUCGGCUCAACUGAGGAACUGCGUCUGAUACUGCUAGACUAGAGUGUCGGAGGGGAUGGUGGAAUUCCCGGUGUAGAGGUGAAAUUCGUAGAGAUCGGGAGGAACACCUGUGGCGAAGGCGACCAUCUGGAAGACAACUGACGCUGAGAC
rnacentral:rRNA from 1 species